rnacentral:tRNA from 1 species
AAUUUAGCUCAGUUGGGAGAGCGUCGGUUUUACAAGCCGGAUGUCGUAGGUUCAAGUCCUACAGUU